rnacentral:lncRNA from 1 species
GAGAACCUAUUCAGUUGGAAUUACAAUGUAAUUCGAUCCUUCUCUAAAACAAUACUCUCAAUCACACUAUUAGGGUAUGGAUAUAUUAUGUCAAACCCCUAAUGUGAUUAUUCCAUGUUAUAUGAUUCAAUUGAGUCCUAUAUGAACGCUUUCCUUUAUUACACUCGAUACUUCGGCCGAAGAUUCCCGAAUCAUAUCUUAGAGUAUUCAUCCUCUCAUAACGAGGAUUAGAGAUCCCUUGUUGCGCAUUUACUUGCCUCCAUGGCUAAGUGGAUUAACCCCAACUAUGUCGUGGACACCUGCGGAUGGAGUGACUUUGACAUAAUCAAAGAUCAAGGACCUAACCACAAGACAACUAUGAUGCCUCAGGUCAAAGGA